AAUUUUACGUGGAUAUGAACUCUUCAAAAUCUUUUGAACGUGUUAGGGCCUAGGUUGGUGGCCUCCAUUGCACAUACUGGAGGGGUGCCCUCCUAAAGUCUGUUCAAUGUGGCAGAGCUACGUCAUAAUUUGUGGCAGUGGGGGCCUGCGUUUUUGUGACCCCUAU
rnacentral:snRNA from 10 species